UCUUCCCACAGGCUGCUCCGGGAUCCAGGCCUCGCUCCCUCCCACCAUGUUACUGCGGAAAUCCUCCCGCGUUCUCAACUCACCAUGCAGCUCCAGUUCCUCCCUGGUGCAGCCGCAGGGCUCACGGACCAGCUCCAGCCCCUCCGUGGCGCAGGAGGUUGCGGAGAUGGGCUCCCUGCCAGCCUCUGGGGUGCCAGACGUCCUGGACCUAAGCAGCAGUGAGGAUGGAGGUGGCUCCGACUCAGGCAGUGACUUUGAGGACAUGCUCUGGAAGGGUGGCAAGCGGGAUGCUAGGACCCCUCUUAGCCGCACCGUGGCAGCCAAGCGACCCCGGAAAGACGCCAGCAGAGAUGGAGAGAGCCUGGCUGAGAGAAACCCAGAGCCCAGCAACCUCUUUGAGGUGGUGAGGCUGGCGAAGAGUGCCAUGGAGGUAACCACGCUCUCUUCACUGCCCGGGUUCCACCCUCUC
rnacentral:lncRNA from 1 species